AUAAACAAGUUCCUAAUGAAACCAUAGACUGAAAAACAACCUGCUGCAUUUCUCUUUUAUUACAUUUUUCCUGCAACAUAAACUGUUUUUGAAGUUACGUGAGUGGAAACAUAAAGUACGAAUCGUCUCUCCUUGUCCAUCAGUUCUGCCUCAUAAUUCUUCUGGCUUGGAGUAUUCUUUCCUCUUAGAUAAUUGCAAACAGCACAGGUUACCAUUUUAUCUCAAAGAUGGCUGUACUCCCUCAUUUUUGGUAAGGAAUAUGUCUUCAGUGUGAAAAUCCGGUUCUGUCUGACUGUGUUUACUUGCUGGACUACUUGAGGCGUCGUCGAAGGCACAGCGAGGAACAAAGUAUUUCUUCCCUGGGCCCCAGCCCAGCAGCAGCUCUCGGAGCACUCGGACCUUCCCGCUUAAUAGGCUGGAAACAGCGAACAGCCUCCCACAGCCUGGGCACGCAUUCAUUCUCUGGUGAUGUGAAGAAAGAACAGUGUUUAUACUUCUCUUUGUGCUGGAAGCUGACAUAAAAUAUGUCAGAACAUCUGAGGCUGCUAGAGGCAUUUUCCACAUUCAUCUAUUCCUGAAGGGAGGACAUAUAACCAACGGAAGUUGCUUGAGACCAAUAGCUGAGGACAGAAGUUCAACAAGAGGCCAACAUUUUGCUGUGCCUCAGUGGAAAAAACCCAGGUCCACUCAAUCUGAUUGCAUUACAAGUGGCUUUCAACAAGGUAAGCUGAGUCUGCUAUGGACUGUUUCCAGCAGCUGUAUUGUGUUCUGGGAGGAUGGGGCUUGUUAUUUAAGUGCUUAAUACUGCAUCAAGAAUAUGCAGAAGCUAAAUUUAGCACUGCCAAUUUGAACUCUUGGGUUUGGCUUGUUUGAUGUGUUUUACUGGCAAGAAAG